AGAGUUUGAUCAUGGCUCAGCAAGGCGACGAUCCGUAACUGGUCUGAGAGGAUGAUCAGUCACACUGGAACUGAGACACGGUCCAGACUCCUACGGGAGGCAGCAGUGGGGAAUAUUGGACAAUGGGCGAAAGCCUGAUCCAGCCAUGCCGCGUGUGUGAAGAAGGUCUUCGGAUUGUAAAGCACUUUAAGUUGGGAGGAAGGGCAGUAAAUUAAUACUUUGCUGUUUUGACGUUACCGACAGAAUAAGCACCGGCUAACUCUGUG
rnacentral:rRNA from 1 species